CGGAGGCGUGCACGCGAGUGCAGAGCGCCUGAGCGCGCAGCGGAGAGCGCGGGCCGCGGCGGCGAGAGGCCCCGCCCGGGACCCGGGACCCGCCUCCGGCUCGGGGGCCGAGGCUGGGACUCUCGGGCUCGGAGGCAGACGGCGUCGCUCCUGCGGACCGAGACGCGGCGCGGCCUGCAAGCUCGGAGGGGCCGUCCGCGCUGGAGGCCUCCGGGGGCGCCGCCUGGAGAAGCCUCUUGCACUGCUCCCAGCACGUCCUCGUCGGUCUGGAGUUCACAGCUGCCCCGGAAAAGUGAACGCGCUCAAAGCCUGCACGCCCCGUCUGCUACAUUCUAACGGAACCCGGGAUUUCAGACCUGAAGUCAUUUAAACUGAAUUCGCUGAAAUGCCAAGCAAAUAAAACGACUAACGGCUUUUUAAAACGGCUAUUAGGGCUGCGUGAGCGGGGGGAGAAUUGCUUCCUGGAAAUGUGCUGAUGGGACAACUAUAGAAAGCAUUGGUCUUUGUUUUUAGCUAUUAAAAGCUGUAAAUCUAAACCGCUCAGAGGAAGAUUGAGCGGAGAUGAUGGAACCCGAUCCAUUGGAGAUCCUGAUACUAACCUGCCUCGUGUUAAAGCCAGACCAGCCAAGGACACCGGGAGGAAGCCUGCGAUGCGCGGACGUCAGGCGGCUGUGGAAGUGGGAAGGAGGGGCACUCCCGGGGAAGCGAGCAUCCCGCUGGAAAAGGGAGCAUGAAGCUGUUUCGUAAGGUUUAGGCUCCCACCAAACGAGUCAGGAGGGUCUAGGAGUGCGGGGAUCCGCUCUGGACUGGACGCUGUUUCUGAGGCAGGAUUAGGAAAAGCGGAGGUUAACCAGGGAUUGGAUGCUGUCUGAGGAGAAGACCGUUUAGGAACUGGGUACGCCCGGUAAUAAAUGAAAAUAGCAAAGUGGGCCUGAGCCUCCUUGGUGAGAAAGCGAAGAGAGGUGAUCUGGCAUUUUCCAGCUGCCGCUUGGCAGCAGGAAAAACACGAUUCUCUGUUAACUUUGCAGCCGGCUUUGUGUCCGUCCUCCCAGCACUGCUGUUUUUUCUCAUUUCAGCCUGAGCUGGAUUUUAUUCUUUUGCUUUUAAAUUCUUUAAAACCAAGAAUUUUCACUCUUUGACCAAGCGUGCAGAACUAGGCAGAAUUAGGGUUCUGCCUUUGUAGCUCCAAGCUGCUUUCAGUCCCAUUCUAACAUGGAAAGAAGUAAUUUUCACUUCAGCAGUUCAGUUUUCAUCUUGCCUCUCCUUAUUCUAACGUCAUGCGUUUACUGGGAAUAGAGAAAAGAUGGGAAUAAAGAAAGGAAACAGUCAAGAAGUUAGGAGAUGGGGUAAAGAAGGUAUUGAAUUGUAGAAGAGUGAAGAAACUAGUCCUGGGGAACAUAAAAGGAUGUUUCAUGGCUGCCCUUGUUUUAGGAACACUGGGGCAGGAGUAUGAGGAGGCAUUUUCAAAAAUUGGAGAAUGUUUAACCUUUCUCAGUGAUCCUAGGCUCACAGAGAUCCCAAAUGGAAAGAUCAAGGGCCAAAUUCAGCCAGCAAAAAUGUUUCACUUGGCCCACAUGGUAGUUUUCUAAAUAUAUUUUAAGUACAUACUAAAAUUCAAUAAAUCAGGACAUUUCACUUUAAAAUCUAGAUUUCUAGUUUAUCUGGAAAACACGAGAUCUGGGCCUCUUUACUGGGUCUCUAUUGGGCCUAUGGUGUGCUUCACUCAUUUUCAUUACCUGCCUGGCUGCUAUAGAAGUUUUUUUGUGACUUCUGAGAAUUCUACAACUUAAACAGAGAAAAUACUAAAAGUAGGUGAAAAGAAGUUGAACAAUUCAACUAGAGUCCAUGUCUGCCUUGUUCACUACUGUAAGAUAGUAAUUAAAUCAUUAUUAAAUGAAGAAAGAAAGAAACCAGGAAUAAGAGCAGCCAUUCUCAGGAAAAUAUGUUGAAACUGAGCUUUGGGCUGUGUUCAGUAUGGACUAAAAUGAACCCUAGAGAUACAGUCAGAGUCUGUGUUGGUAACUAUAGAGUUCUUAUCUACACCCAGAUUUGAAACAAUAUAUUCAGGGUACUGUAAAGGACAGCUGAGAAAGCGGGCAUGUCAAUGGAUAGAAUGGCGAAAGAAUUGCUUAGAUUAGGGAGGAAUGAAGAAUAGUUGCUGAAAGAGAAUAAAAUACAAAGACAAAAUGGACCUAGUUAGAGAAGAAUUGUGAAAUGGAUUUAGAAGCAGACGGAUUGAAAGCAAUGGGGAAUUAUUGUAUGGAUGUGGCUUCAUACGUAACUUCAGAGACUACUGAAGCUAGUCUAAAGCUAGACUGCUGGAGCUAAAGACAGCAUUAGAGAUCAUCCAGUUCUAGUCCAACUCCAACAUUUCACAAAUGGGGAGAUGAUGGUCGGGGAAUUUAAGAAAGCUGCUUAAAGUCACAAAACUAGGUAGGAACAGAACCAUGUCUAGAGGCCUCCUCACUUUUCCUCGUCUGCUGCUCUUGCCUCUACCCCACAUUUUUUCUGUUGCAGUGAUCCUCAGUGAAUUAUUAUUUGGUUCAUUUAAUAAUUAUUUAUUAAGCAUUUGUUCUGUGUAAAUGUUAGAAUUAGUAACCAUAACAUAGUCAGAGAUCAUCUUUGAGAUACCAUUCAGAUUAUUUGACCUAGCCAAAUGCUGUUCAGUAAUCAUAGUCCUUUGAAAUCUAAUUAAAUCUGUUAAUUGUACAGUUUUCCUAUAAGCCAUUUCAUAAAUGUCUAUGUCUCAUUAGAAUUGUAGACUUUAAAAACCAAAUAAAAUACUGACUACUUAGAACUGGAAUGAGGCAAAGGGUCUGCUAUUUCAACAAAAGAAAGCAAGCGCAUAUAGCAAUAGUCUAUAAUCUGAUUUUAAGUGAAAUGACGACAAUAUUUUUGCACUCAUAUUCUGUCUGAAUCAUUGAUAUGGAUAAAAUAAAACUAGCGGGGGCCGGCCCCAUGGUGCAGCAGUUAAGUUCGCAUGUUCCGUUUCUCAGCGGCCUGGGGUUCCCUGGUUCAGAUCCUGGGUUGGGACAUGGCACCGCUUGGCAAGCCAUGCUGUGGUAGGCAUCCCACAUAUAAAGUAGAGGAAGGUGGGCAUGGAUGUUAGCUCAGGGCCAGUCUUCCUCAGCAAAAAGAGGAAGAUUGGCAGUAGUUAGUUCAUGGCUAAUCUUCCUCAAAAAAAAAAAAAAAAAAACUAGAGAAUUAAAGGAAAUAUGUAGAAUUUGGCAUGUGUGAUACCAGCUUCUAAGAGGGCCCCUAAACAUUCUUAUCACCAGGUCCUGACACCUUUGUGUAUUGCCCUCCCACACUGACCUGUAUAAUCAAUGAGAUAUUGCAGAAAAAUAUGUGUGACUUUUGAGGCCAGCUCAUAGAAGGUGUUGUGGCUUUGCCAUGUUCUCUCUUGGAUUACCAGCCCUGGGAGAAGCCAGCUGCCAUAUCAUGAAGACACUCAUGCAGCCCUAUGGAGAGGUCACAUGGCAAGGAACUGAAGGCUCCUGCCUUGCCAGGCAUGAGAAUGAGCCACCUUAAAAGCAGAUCCCACAGCCCCAGUCAAACCUUCAGAUGAUUGCAACCCCAGCUGACAUCUUGACCACAAGCUCAUGAGAGACCCUGAGCCAGAGCCACUCACCUAAAUUGCACCUGGAUUCCUGAUUCACUAGAACUGUGUGAACUCUAAGUGUUUAAUUUUCUGAGCUGCUGAAUUGUGAGAUAAUUUGUUCUGCAGCGAUAGGUAAUACUGAGUGUAAAGCCUGGACCCCUGAAAUCAUUUACAAAGUUGUAUGUCUACGAGAAUAUGGCAGAACCAAAACAUUCAACUUGAUUUAAUAGAACUGUUUAUUUUUUUCCCUAAGCUUUCUCCCUUUAAAGGAAUGUACAACUGAUUUUGUUGUUAUUUUUGGCGGGGGAGGGAGAGGUGUGGUAUGCAGAUUCUUCCUUUCCAGGAACUGUUUGAAGACUGAGCUGAUUACAUCCCUAAAGAGAGUAGAUCAGCACUGAUAACUUGGGGUCAGCCUGCAGGGGCCAUCAACGUCUCUAGUAAAAGAAAAGAAGAGAAUGGAACUUUGUGUUGAGAAAUAAUGAAGAUUUGAAAUGACAAUGUAUAUAUUGAAGUGGGCAGGCAGAGAGGAUUGUCCAAAUGGCAAGGGUAUGGAUUGCUGGAUCUAAACUUGCCUAAGAAAGUCCUGCUGCCAGGAGAUGUGGAGUGAUUGGACUCAGAGAAGAGGAGAAGAUUCCUCUAGGAGGACGUGUAAAGUGCUCAGGAGCCUCGUGGGUCAGAGCACUUGCAACACCCAAGGCCUCCUCUCAUGCUGGAUGUGGAAGCCUGCUUCUCUUGUUAAGCACCAGGACGCCAUCAUUUUAUUACUGUUUGGGAAGAACCCAAGUUAUGCCCGGCAGUGCCACUAAGUUGGAUUCUUUGCCUUUUGACCCUCUGCAGUGUUGUAGGGCACCUCUGCCCAAAGAGACCCCAUGAACACCUGCAAGUGGAGACGUGGGAGAGGAUCUGAGGAAGGCACAACUAAAGAAGCUUGAGACCCUCCUCUCAACUACGACAGCGAUCGGAGGAAGCCCUUCUCAUAUGUGGAUGCCCGUUUUUCUGGGGAGAGAGUCUACAGCUUUCCUCAGAUUUUCAACAAAUAGAUCACCAAGGACUGCAUCUCCUGGGCUACCUGGCCAAAUUGGCUGCUGUUUGAGUUUGGCUGAUAGGAAGCACUGGCCAAAGAAGUAGGUCAGAGUAUUUCUUCCUGUUUCUCCUCUACUUUGACAAAGACUGUCAGCAGCCUCAUCCCUCUUAGACGACAGUGCCUACCUGGUGGUCCCUCUUCCACAGCUCCUGCUGUCAGCUGGCUCUCCUCCCCAUGUCCCUUCAGCCUGAGGGGUAUUCCUGGUCUCUGGGUGCCUCUCAGCCCUUGCUCAUCCCCUUAACCCUAUCCACAGCGCUGUAAGUCGUACUUUCACUAACACUUCUUCCUGUGGGUCACGUGGAGGGAAUUCUGUUUCCUGGAGGGGCCCUAACUGGUACAUAUUCUAUGUGCCAGUCACUGUUCUAAAUGCUUCCUGCGGAUUAUUUCAUUUAAUUCCCAUAUGAAGUCUAAGAGGUAAAUACUGUUAAUAUCGCCUUUUUACAGGGGAGUGAGCCGUUUACAGUGAGUUAACAUGAUGGCUACAUGGGAUUGUACCAGGGUGUCUGUAGACAUCUACACAGUAGGUAGUUUGCAAACGACUAAUGAUGUACCAACAACUUCUGAAAUCAAAUAUGUAGACAACAGCUAAUAAGCCAUUAGGUUGUUGUAUGCUAGUUGAUUAUGUAUCAUGACUGGAUAGAAAUAGACACUUUUGUUGCCAUAAAAUUACCUGUUUGAUCCAAUACACUAUUUAUUAGCUGUUCUAUGACAAUUCGACAGUCCCAGAAAACUGUUUUUGACUAUCUACAUAGUACUUAAAAUUAAUUACAGUUUUAUGAGGAGUUAAUUCUUAUUGAAAAUACGUCUUUUACGUUGCUACCACUAGGCAAUGAAAGUAGUUGAGAGAAGCUUAAUUCCCUCUAUGAAUUAGGGGGAAAUAUGGAAAAAUCAAAGCACAUUUUCAAUGAUCUCCCACACCUUUUCCACAUCUCAGCCCAUCCUCUGCUUGCCCCCUGUGUGUGCUAUAUACUUGGUGUCAUUUAUGUUUUCAGAACGACUGCUGGACUGCAGGACUGAAUUCGCACAUCUUCACUGACCCACACUCACAAUGGGAACAAAUCGGGUGUUCUUUACACUUUGUCUUCAGAAAACAGAAGAGGGCUUUGAUUUGGCUGUUGUGACACAUGAAGGCUAUCUGCUCGCCUGUCACCCUGGUUCUAGGGAAUGAUACUCUUGUGUUUGGGGCAUGCUCGACUUAGGGCUGGGAAGGGCAGCAGUGGAGCUAACAGCGCCUUCACUCACUCUGCUGGACGCCUACCAAGGGCCUGUUCAGGAGGAUGUUUUAUAUCAGAGCUUCAUUAGGACAGUAUGGAUGUAUGGUAACUGUUGCAGGCCAAGACUGUGACCAGGCCCCUUCCAUAAUGUUCCCCAGCACUGCUGUCUCUGACCUCUUCUCCCAGGCCCCAGUCCAUCCUUAGAGAGAGAUAUAUCCUGAUUGGUUUGUGUCCCCUAAGCUGUUGGACCAGGAACCAGGGGCUUUUCUCUCAGCG
rnacentral:lncRNA from 1 species